rnacentral:rRNA from 1 species
CCUACGGGAGGCAGCAGUGAGGAAUAUUGGACAAUGGUCGGAAGACUGAUCCAGCCAUGCCGCGUGCAGGAUGACGGCCUUAUGGGUUGUAAACUGCUUUUGUAAGGGAAGAAUAAGGACUACGUGUAGUUUGAUGACGGUACCUUAUGAAUAAGCAUCGGCUAACUCCGUGCCAGCAGCCGCGGUAAUACGGAGGAUGCGAGCGUUAUCCGGAAUCAUUGGGUUUAAAGGGUCUGUAGGCGGGCUGGUAAGUCAGAGGUGAAAGCGCUUAGCUCAACUAAGCAACUGCCUUUGAAACUGUUGGUCUUGAAUGGUUGUGAAGUAGUUGGAAUGUGUAGUGUAGCGGUGAAAUGAUUAGAUAUUACACAGAACACCGAUAGCGAAGGCAUAUUACUAACAAUUAAUUGACGCUGAUGGACGAAAGCGUGGGGAGCGAACAGGAUUAGAUACCCUAGUAGUC